rnacentral:lncRNA from 1 species
GGAGGGGUUACUGCGAGAGACACCCAGCGAGGGGCAGCCUAGAGCUGCAAGGGGAAUUUAGAGCAAGGGGGAUACGAGAAGGUUCCUGACAAUUUUAUCCUGUGAGCGUGUAUUACCGUGCGAAGGCAUUAUUAAUUGAAUUCCAGAUUUCUCCCAAAUGUGUUUGACAAGACAACAGGAAAAACUCGAUCAUCUUGUGCUCAUGGGAAGUGCUCUGUCUAGGGGUAUACAUGCAGUAUAUAGCAGCGCAGAGACGUCAAAUAUGGACAUUAAAUGACGCUGUUCUUUCAAGCGAGCAGUAUCCAUCUGUGGCGUGAAUGAAGCAGGGGUCUUGUGGAAAUGUAAGUUAGGGACUUCUCAAAUUAUAUUGCGAGGGUGUAGGGNNNNNNNNNNNUAAAAGUUGCACAAACAACAUUGAUUCCUUUGUUUCCUUAGAAUCUCUCUCUCUCUCUCUCUCUCUCUCUCUAUAUGUUAUAUAAAAAUAGUGGACUUUGCUGUUUCAGUAACAUUCACUUAGAGGGGUUUAAGAGAAGGCCUC